AUGUCACACUUCUUCUACUUGACUCCACAGAUUCUUCUGCCCUUUCGCCCUCUUCCUUCUCAAGAGUUUGAUUUGAUCAGACGUAAGGCUGGGGCAUCUUGGCAGAAUGAAACACGAUGGCUGGAUUCUUCUGUAACAACAUAUGCGGGCAGUUACCGGAAAAAACAACUGGAUAAGUUUGCAUGCAGCCGACUUUCUUUUAGAGCAGGACAGCGUAAGCCUGAGCGUAAACAGAUAUUAUUGCCAAACAUUUAUGCCUGGAGUCUGCCGCGCUGCCCCGCGCACACCCAGGAGGCUACAGGAGGUAAAGGACUAUUCUCUGAUUUAAUCAGGCCCUUAAAAAAGUCAUUUCCUGUCAAACAUGAAGUGGCACACCAAAUUUGGAGCUUUGGUGAUUUUUCUCAGGCACUUCCAAAUUAUGAGGAAUCAUGUGUGAGAACUAAAAAGGCAGCACUUGGGACCCUGACGAACUACAGACAAGGGAGAGACAUCCUAAAGCAUCUUCAGGGACAGCGCGACUCUGCAAGCAAGCUUAGCUCAUCCGAAGACUCAGAAUGUAAUCAACACUUCGAUUACUGCCGGGGAAGACCGCUACUGUUUUAUUAGCAGACUUGGAAAACGCAGCCACAAAGCUGGAGGCCCGGAGUUCGCUUGAUAAACGACAUUUUCAGAUCCAACUACAAAGAAAAAAAAUUAUGAACAGGAGAUAUACUAUAUCAUAAAGAAGAGAUCUUGAUUAAUACUUGAGACCAUUCAGACCUUGGACAGGGGAAAACUGGGUCUCUCCAUCCCCAGGAAUGACCACACUACAUUUACCUGCGGGCCUAUUCCCAGGUUAUGAGGUGCUGUGGGAAAGGAGUCCAGUUUUACAUUCCCUGUCUUCUGGAAGCACCCAUGAAAUCACUUAGCGGUGGCUGUCCCUUUACUUCCCUCCUACCCUCUUGCAUGCGCUGAGUUCCCCUGGCUGUCUUUCCUUCUUCCCGUUGGGCUGGAAGCACCUUGGCAACUAAUGACAUGUGCUUGCCCCUUCCAAUUGUUCAUAAGCCCCACGUGACCUUUGGUUGGCAGGAGUUCUAAUAUGAUGCCCCUGACUGUGGGGAGGAGACACGUGUGCUUGGCAAGCC